rnacentral:rRNA from 1 species
CCUACGGGAGGCAGCAGUAGGGAAUAUUGCUCAAUGGGGGAAACCCUGAAGCAGCCACGCCGCGUGAAGGAUGAAGGUUUUCGGAUUGUAAACCUCUUUUGUUAGAGAAGAUAAUGACGGUAUCUGAGGAAUAAGCACCGGCUAACUCCGUUCCAGCAGCCGCGGUAAUACGGAGGGUGCAAGCGUUAUCCGGAUUCACUGGGCGUAAAGCGGGCGUAGGCGGGAUAGCAAGUCAGAUGUGAAAUCCUAUGGCUUAACCAUAGAACUGCAUUUGAAACUGUUAGGCUAGAGUACGGGAGAGGUAGGUGGAAUUCGUGGUGUAGGGGUGAAAUGCGUAGAGAUCAAGAGGAAUACACAUGGCGAAGGCGGCCUGCUAGAACGUAACUGACGUUGAUGCGCGAAAGCGUGGGGAGCAAACAGGAUUAGAUACCCGAGUAGUC